rnacentral:ncRNA from 2 species
CUAAAUUAUGUCAAAACAGGUUUCGGAAGAUGGAGCGAUAUCGAUCUUCCGAGUAAGGGGAAGCCGGGUGCAAGGCCCGCACGGUCCCGCCGCUGUAAGAGAGGAGUCUUUUCCUAUAGGUCACUGGGAAACUGGGAAGACGGGAAAAGAUGAGGAUGCUCAAGUCAGAAAACCUGCCUGUUUUAUGCCUAUGAC